rnacentral:miRNA from 1 species
ACAGUUGUAUAAUGUGUAUAUAUGUGUGUGUGAGCACACACAUAAACAUACACACACAUAUAUUUAC